UUGUGCUUGCACAGAUGACGACCGGCGCACGGGUGCGUAACGCGUAUAGAACCUACCUUUUACAGAGGAAUAGCCUUUAGAAAUGAAGAUUAAUGCCUCAUAGUAUUGUAGACUGGCAUCAGAUUAUAAUUAAAGAUUUAUCGGUAAAAGAUGGCUAUGCGUCCUAUUAGUUAGUUGGUAAGGUAACGGCUUACCAAGACAGCGAUAGGUAGGAGUCCUGAGAGGGAGAUCCCCCACACUGGUACUGAGACACGGACCAGACUCCUACGGGAGGCAGCAGUGAGGAAUAUUGGACAAUGGAGGAGACUCUGAUCCAGCCAUGCCGCGUGUAGGAAGAAUGCCCUAUGGGUUGUAAACUACUUUUAUACAGGAAGAAACACUGGUAUGUAUACCAGCUUGACGGUACUGUAAGAAUAAGGACCGGCUAACUCCGUGCCAGCAGCCGCGGUAAUACGGAGGGUCCGAGCGUUAUCCGGAAUCAUUGGGUUUAAAGGGUCCGCAGGCGGUCUAUUAAGUCAGAGG
rnacentral:rRNA from 1 species